rnacentral:rRNA from 1 species
GAUGAACGCUGGCGGCGUGCCUAAUACAUGCAAGUCGAGCGAACGGACGAGAAGCUUGCUUCUCUGAUGUUAGCGGCGGACGGGUGAGUAACACGUGGAUAACCUACCUAUAAGACUGGGAUAACUUCGGGAAACCGGAGCUAAUACCGGAUAAUAUUUUGAACCGCAUGGUUCAAAAGUGAAAGACGGUCUUGCUGUCACUUAUAGAUGGAUCCGCGCUGCAUUAGCUAGUUGGUAAGGUAACGGCUUACCAAGGCAACGAUGCAUAGCCGACCUGAGAGGGUGAUCGGCCAGACUGGAACUGAGACACGGUCCAGACUCCUACGGGAGGCAGCAGUAGGGAAUCUUCCGCAAUGGGCGAAAGCCUGACGGAGCAACGCCGCGUGAGUGAUGAAGGUCUUCGGAUCGUAAAACUCUGUUAUUGGGGAAGAACAUAUGUGUAAGUAACUGUGCACAUCUUGACGGUACCUAAGCAGAAAGCCACGGCUAACUACGUG